rnacentral:rRNA from 1 species
GCAAGUCGAACGAGAAACUACCUAGCUUGCUUUGUAGUUUCUAGUGGCGAACGGGUGAGUAACACGUGAGCAACCUGCCCAGAAGCAGGGGAUAGCCCACCGAAAGGUGGAUUAAUACCGUAUGUGAUCCCACGGAGCAUUUCGUGGUGAUUAAAGCUGGGGAUUCUUCGGAACCUGGCACUUCUGGAUGGGCUCGCGGCCUAUCAGCUAGUUGGUGAGGUAACGGCUCACCAAGGCGACGACGGGUAGCUGGUCUGAGAGGAUGAUC